UCCAAAAUUACAUAUGACACUGUCCACUCAUUCAUUUCAUUGCGUAGAACACAGAUUGUACAUUUAAUUUUAUCUUGUUGCAUUUUUUAUCUGCUUCAUUUUAAAGUCAAAAAUCUUACUUGGCCCUUGAGAUAUUAAUGUCAGAAUCUGAAGAAGCAUCAACAGAAGCUUCAGUCUACUAUGGCCACCAUUUCUGCAAUCCAAUAGAACCCAUUAAUGAAAUCUUCACAGAGCUCUGGUCAUAUCACGCUACUCUAGCUCUGGCAAAGAGAAGAAGACUCUUCAGGUUUUGAAUCUCUAUGAUGGAAACCCGAUUGGAGAACAUCAAACUGGAAUUAUUUCAGUUGUGCUCUUUUUUCUUAGCCUUCCUUCCAUGGAUUUUUCUUGACCAUUCUUUUCACCUUUUCCAUUCAGAAUCAUAAUUUAUCAUUUUUAUUCAUAUCUUAUUCACUUACCUUACCAUUAUCUUCAUCCUUUUUGUCUAGAUUAAGCUUUACAGGUACUGGAUAGUUUCAAGGCAGUUGUCGCGAGAAAAAAGUGAUGGUAGAGUGGUUAUGAGGUGCAUCUAAUAAUUAAGGAUUAAGGGAUGAAUUUUGAUCUGUCAAAAGAGCCUCAGAAUGCAAGAAGGAUGAAAAGCUCUCUAUCCUCAAAACCAAAUGGAAGCCUCUUUCUUAGUAUUCCCAGAAUCUUAUAAUCAUCUGUCUUAUUUGUGUCACAGGUAUGGCAUAUCUCUGCGGUUGAGAGUGACCUUUACACAUAGCUGGACAUGGCAUCAAACUUUAAAAUAAUUUAUGGAACCAACAACAAGACUUGGGUAGACGUGAGUCGUAUUGAGUCUUCUACCUCGUGCAAAAGUACAUUGACUUGAAUCUCUUGGAACCAUUCUGCAAACUAUUUCCGUUUUUACUUUUGACCAUGGAAAAGGUUAUAGUUGGUUGAAGCUUAUUGGGAAUUUGAUGUAAUUGAGGUCUUUCGGUUGUCUGACUUUAGUGUUCAAGGAGCUGAUGCAAAGAACAUCUUCUAUGUGAAAAAUUGAUGAUGCCAACAAGCUUAUAGAAGCAAUUAAGGCAAAGAAGGAAGUGCCUUAGCUCUUCACUGCCGCUAUAACUGCUUUCUAUGAGGGUUAUUAUGCCAAAAAAGGUGUCAAAAUUAUUCAGGGAACAGUUGCAGUUGGGUUUUAUACAAAUGCAAAUGGGGAGGUGAAGGCUGUGAAACUGAAGUAUGGGAGGGUACUGAAUGCUGACAUUGUUGUUGUUGUUGGGGGAAGACCCCUUACCACAUUGUUCAACGGACAGGUUGAGGAAGAGAAAGGUGGAAUUAUGAUUUGUGUGGUUCCCAUAUCCUUUUAAAACAGAACUGCCUUUUAGUUCUAAUUAUGUUGUAUAGAAUUUCUUCAGUGCCAUCCACUACCCUAUCUGAACUGCCAUAACCAUAAUUAACAUGUUUAACCACCCAAUUUACAAGGAUUGUAGUUGGUGAAUGCCGUGAUGGAAUUCUUUUCUAUUCCCAUCAAGAGGUAUGUUAGAACUGCUUAAGUCUUUAAAUAAAGGCACUGUCUAAAUGAUAUCUUUGUAGGUAUAUUCCGAAGUUGACACCUUUUAAUUUCUAGAAAGGAACUGUCUAAGUGACAUCUCUAUUGUUCAGUAAGACCUCUCUUCUUGUUAGCA